GUUGGAUCACAUAUUCAUUCUGGCAGCCUUCACCCCUUGUAGGGUCAAACAAUGAGAAAGUAGUUGACCCAGGUAGUGGGCAGGCUAAGUAAAGAGAGCUUCAAGGGGUCUAGUCUAUUUUAGUACGCCACUCACAAGAGGCCACUGAAGCCAUAAAACCUGAACCGACAUUGUCUCAUUGUUGCACACACUCCUCACACUCUUGGGCUUUUCCUGCACAGAUCAGAGACGGAAGACGGAUAUAUAUCUCUUGCAUGGCAGUCACAGAAGUGCAUUUCUACUUAUAAAAGAUAACAAAUGACUGGGACACACAGCCUUAACAAUCUUCUGUGGACGUCGUGAUGUCUGAGGCG